GAAUUUUGGACAAUGGGCGAAAGCCUGAUCCAGCAAUGCCGCGUGCAGGAUGAAGGCCUUCGGGUUGUAAACUGCUUUUGUACGGAACGAAAAGCUUUUGGUUAAUACCCUGGAGUCAGGACGGUCCCGUCAGAAUAAACACCGGCCAACGUAGUUCCGACACCCGCGGUAAUACGUAGGGUGCAAGCGUUAAUCGGAAUUACUGGGCGUAAAGCGUGCGCAGGCGGUUUUGUAAGACAGAGGUGAAAUCCCCGGGCUCAACCUGGGAACUGCCUUUGUGACUGCAAGGCUAGAGUACGGCAGAGGGGGGUGGAAUUCCGCGUGUAGCAGUGAAAUGCGUAGAUAUGCGGAGGAACACCGAUGGCGAAGGCAACCCCCUGGGCCUGUACUGACGCUCAUGCACGAAAGCGUGGGGAGCAAAC
rnacentral:rRNA from 1 species